rnacentral:tRNA from 1 species
CCGACCAUAGCUCAGUUGGUAGAGCGGAGGACUGUAGUUCAAACGGAAAUCCUUAGGUCGCUGGUUCGAAUCCGGCUGGUCGGA